rnacentral:lncRNA from 1 species
CAAAUAUUCACUUUUGGCCUGGAUCUUGCAUUAAAGUUAUUGAGCUGCUCAUGGUAUUUUCUCUUAGAAUUUUUUUUUAAUUUGUUUUGCUGUUCAUGAAUAAUGUGAAAAAACCUUUUCAUGGAUGAUUUUUAUCCUGUGUUUUUAUGCCARAUAACCUUUAGGUCUGUAAGAGAACUGUGUGCUUUUCAUGCUAUUGCCCCCCUCUCCCCUUGCCUUGUGUUAGGUCCCACGUACACACUGAGGUCACGCUGAGCCCUACUGAAUCUGCACCAGGGUCRCUUCCACAGUACUCGGCAAAGUUUGGGAAAACCUUCCAACGGUCUGCUCAGAAGUCAGCCCUUUCUCUUCUCUCCCAUCAGGCAGGUCUGCAGACAACGUCAGGCUGGGACCAAUGUUAAACUUCUCAUCUCAAUUGUCAAAGUGUUAAAACCUCAGUCCAGGAAGUUGCAGUAAGAGAAUCGAACUAGUAGGCAGAAUUUUUGCCUUGGCUGCUGGUGUCCGUGUCUGUGUGCAAAUAACAGACUUUUUUCCCUGCCAGACUGGAAUUCCACUUCUUCUCAACUCUGCUAAAAGAACAUGGAAAUAAUUGAAAUAAUUCAUCCUCUCGAAGUCGCAGGCACCCUGGUGUCACCGCAAAGCGUAACUGCGGUACAAGAAGAAACAAUUAGUUAUUAAUAUGCAAGGAGGACAAAGAGUAGACCUGGAAAAUCUGCUGGGGCAUUGUGAAACGUUCAAGAAACCUUGUUCUUGUGCGAGGAAAUCUGUAACUCAAGGAAAGGACCUAAUUAAGGCUCCAAUUGUGGAAUUGUUGACCGAUAGCYGGAGGAAGCAUUAUGGCCGUACGUCACACAAGGGGACGGCAACCUGCCCAAGGUCAUGCAGGCUGGAAACGAACCCGCACGCGGGGAGCAGCGCCGCUGCGAGGAACGCCGCUAGACCGUUUGAAACCCCGCUUAUGCCUUGGCACUGGAGAAACCAGGAACGAAUCCAUCUGCCCAUCCACAUCCAUCCAGUCCUUGCAGUGUUGCCCUUUCCGACGUGCAUCGUUUCUGCUUUGGGCAGCCUAAUUUUAACAAUUUCCCAUCGGUUUCCAGGACGCAGCGCUUCCUUACUGAGACGGCCUUCUGGAAAGCUGCGUUUCCCCUUUCGCUCCUUUGGCUCCAAUUAUUUCCCGUCCUGCCUUUAUACCCCGUGAAGAAUUCUUCUGUCUUCGAUAUUAAUUACGGACAUCGUGCCAAAGUUUCUGAGCAUAAGCCAAUUAAAAUAAAUUGCUUUCAGGUGGGCA